rnacentral:rRNA from 1 species
GACGUAGGGGGCGAGCGUUGUCCGGAUUUAUUGGGCGUAAAGCGCGCGCAGGCGGUUCGGAAAGUCGGAUGUGAAAAUCCGGGGGCUCAACCCCGGACGUGCACCCGAUACUCCCGGACUGGAGGCAGGUAGGGGAGAGCGGAAUUCCCGGUGUAGCGGUGAAAUGCGCAGAUAUCGGGAAGAACACCGGUGGCGAAGGCGGCUCUCUGGGCCUGUCCUGACGCUCAGGCGCGAAAAGCUAGGGGAGCGAACAGG